rnacentral:rRNA from 1 species
UACGUAGGGCGCAAGCGUUAUCCGGAAUUAUUGGGCGUAAAGAGCUCGCAGGCGGUUUGUCGCGUCUGCCGUGAAAGUCCGGGGCUCAACUCCGGAUCUGCGGUGGGUACGGGCAGACUAGAGUGAUGUAGGGGAGACUGGAAUUCCUGGUGUAGCGGUGAAAUGCGCAGAUAUCAGGAGGAACACCGAUGGCGAAGGCAGAUCUCUGGGCCGUAACUGACGCUGAGGAGCGAAAGCGUGGGGAGCGAACAGG